ensembl:misc_RNA Metazoa_SRP Metazoan signal recognition particle RNA
GCUGGGUGUGGUGGUGUGCGCCUAUAGUCCCAGGUACUAGGGAGGCUGAGGCGGGAGGAUCGCUUGAGCCCAGGAGUUUGAGGCUGCAGUGAGCUAUGAUGGCACCACUGCACUCUAGCCUGGGUGACAGCGAGACCUAGUCUCUU